UUUUUUUUUUUUUUUUUUUUUUUUUGCUUUUGUGUUUGGGGGAGAGGAGAGGAGAGAUUUAAAAGGAAAGCGGGAUUCCUCCAAGAAUUGCAAGUGCUUUUGGGGUCUGUAAUCAUAGCCUAGCGAAAGCCAACGCAUAAAGAUUACCUUAAAAUAUUCCUAAAUUAUGUGUAAAGCUGAUUUAAGUGGAGUAUCUUAAAAUAGACUCCGAUUAGGGCUCAUGAUUAGAACCGCAGUAAAUCAUUAGGUUAAAUGUCGGACGACUGCUCAUUUUGCAGAGGACCACCACUGUGACUCUGCUGCGCUGCUCCUCCACCUCCUCCUCCUCCUCAUUCCUCUUUUCCUUUUGCCCUUUCUCAUUCAAAAAAAUAAAGUAUGGUAUAUCAAGAAUUAUGCUAAAGAAAUAAAAAUAAUAUUUGGCACGAUACUUAUUAACCAAUCGAAGUUAAAAAAUAAAAAAUAAAAACCAUCGAAAAUCAACUAGAAUUUGGAGAAGUCAUGAACGUGGAACUAAUCAUAUAUAUAUAUAUAUAAUAAAGUCGUAUCCUCAUACUUAUCCUUUCAUAUUUUCUCUUUUCUACGUGACUUAACAAGACGACAAGUAGUUUCCUACGUGACUUGCUCCUUUUUUGUUUGGAUAUAUAUCAAUUCUUAUUUCCUAUAAAAAUUCUUAAUAUUAUAUUAUUCUUAUUUCCUACCCAAAAAAAGAACUGGAAAAUAAUGCGAUAUAAAUAAAAUAGACAUAAAUCUCCUCCAUUAGAUAUAUAGGAAUAAAUGAUAAUAUAUUUUUUUAUAGUAUCCUAUUCUUUCUUUUUUUUAACAGUUCAUCAUAGAUCCUUUUUAUUUUAAGAUAAUCUACCCAUAUAUAGAACAACAUACAAACAAUCUAGACAUGAAAAUUAAAGAAAGUUAGUCCGAGAAAGUUUUUACAAGACUCACAGUCCGCAUGCAUAAUUGAUGUACAAAGAGAAAUGACACUUGAUCUGAUUGAAAAAUUCUGGAAAAGUCCAUAAAGAAAAUGGAGUGUCAUCAACCAAAGAAAUAAAAUCCCAUUAUCAUAGCUAAAGAAAGAUGAGAUAAAACAUUAGAUAUUUGUUGAAGUUUUGCACCCCGAAAACCCCUACCCGACCCUCCAUCCGUAGUGUCCUCCGUUCGUCUUUUUUUUAAUAUAUUUCUGCUAAUAAUUCCUUAAUCACAAUACAUCUCUGCCCAGAUGGUGGGGAGUAUUUUGUGUGUGGACCCACAUCAUAGGAGUCCAUGCACUUAAAGGACUCGAUAUAGUGGAGGUGGUUUUUUAAGGUCGGUAAAAUCUAUCUUGAUAACGCAUUUGUAAAUUUAUUACGUACAGGUUUAUAUACAUGCAUAGUACGGGUCACAUAAGGUCUUAUUUCCUACUCAAAGUUAUUUGGACGAUUAUGGUUUUAUUUCCUAUAAGAAUUCUUAAUAUUAUAGGAUUCUUAUUUCCUAUCCAAAGUUACGUACUUUAAGCAACUUAAAUUAAAAUAAACAUACUUUUAAUGUUCUUAUCAAUAUCUCUUUGUAUUCUUAUCAAUUCUUAUUUCCUAUGUCUACACUACAUAUAGCUUCUAAUAUAUUGAUUUCAAGCAUCAAAUUAAUGGUUAGGUAUUUCCAGUGCAAGCGGUUGGCAUAUUAAAGUAUCGAUUUUGGGUUUCCACUCCUCUUGAUUAUCAAGUACAUCUUCUUUCAAUACAUAUAUAUAUAUAUAUAUAUUUUUUUUUUAAAAAGGCAUGUUGAUCUUCAAUUGUAAGAGCUUAGUAACAUAUCUUGAAAGUAAUGCGAUAUAAAUAAAAUAGACAUAAAUCUCCUCUAUUAGAUAUAUAGGAAUAAAUGAUAAUAUAUUUUUUUAUAGUGUCCUAUUCUUUUUUUUUUAACAGCUUCAUCAUAGAUCCUUUUUAUUUUAAGAUAAUCUACUCAUAUAUAGAACAACAUACAAACAAUCUAGACAUGAAAAUUAAAAAAAGUUAGCCCGAGAAAGUUUUUACAAGACUCACAGUCCGCAUGCAUAAUUGAUGUACAAAGAGAAAUGACACUUCAUCUGAUUGAAAAAUUCUGGAAAAGUCCAUAAAGAAAAUGGAGUGUCAUCAACCAAAGAAAUAAAAUCCCAUUAUCAUAGCUAAAGAAAGAUGAGAUAAAACAUUAGAUAUUUGUUGAAGUUUUGCACCCCGAAAGCCCCUACCCGACCCUCCAUCCGUAGUGUCCUCCGUUCGUCUUUUUUUUAAUAUAUUUCUGCUAAUAAUUCCUUAAUCACAAUACAUCUCUGCCCAGAUGGUGGGGAGUAUUUUGUGUGUGGACCCACAUCAUAGGAGUCCAUGCACUUAAAGGACUCGAUAUAGUGGAGGUGGUUUUUUAAGGUCGGUAAAAUCUAUCUUGAUAACGCAUUUGUAAAUUUAUUACGUACAGGUUUAUAUACAUGCAUAGUACGGGUCACAUAAGGUCUUAUUUCCUACUCAAAGUUAUUUGGACGAUUAUGGUUUUAUUUCCUAUAAGAAUUCUUAAUAUUAUAGGAUUCUUAUUUCCUAUCCAAAGUUACGUACUUUAAGCAACUUAAAUUAAAAUAAACAUACUUUUAAUGUUCUUAUCAAUAUCUCUUUGUAUUCUUAUCAAUUCUUAUUUCCUAUGUCUACACUACAUAUAGCUUCUAAUAUAUUGAUUUCAAGCAUCAAAUUAAUGGUUAGGUAUUUCCAGUGCAAGCGGUUGGCAUAUUAAAGUAUCGAUUUUGGGUUUCCACUCCUCUUGAUUAUCAGGUACAUCUUAUUUCAAUACAUAUAUAUAUAUAUAUAUAUAUUUUAAAAAGGCAUGUUGAUCUUCAAUUGUAAGAGUUUAGUAACAUAUCUUGAAUUUUAUUUUUUUUGUUUUAUUUUCUAUUUGUUUUGUAUGAAGACAUAGGAUUUAAACAAGUACUUUCAUCGUUAUUUUUGUAGGAUUUUUUCUAACAUGUUUGUUAAUUGAUUUUUGUGAUCAUAUACUACGAUGUUUGUUAAUUUGCCUUCAGGAAAAACAACAAAAAACAAAAGACACUGGAAAGUAAUGCGAUAUAAAUACAAGAGACAUAAAUAUCUCUAUUAGAUAUAUCUACAAAUUCAUUAGUUAAUCAAAAGACUCUGGCCAUUUACUUAAUUAUAAUCUUUAUGUAUUGUUAUGCACAAAUUUGAAUGCGAUAAAUCAUUUAUUUUUUUUAUAAUUAGUUAUCCUACUUUGCUAUCAUGCAGUGAUAAUAGAAAAUCAAUAAAUGCUGAUUUGCAUGGACAAAUCGAGGAGAAUGUUCAAACAGAAAAAAAAAAAACAAGUUUUUGAAUAGUAGAAUAUUAUUUGAUACUAUUUACUGCACUUUUUAUUUAUUUUCAAGUUUUUGAAUGUUAUUUUUUCUAUUUUUGAAUUAUUAUUCACUGAAUUAGAUGUUCAAAUUUAUAUUAUAAGAAUACUUUACAUUACAAUGCGCACAUAGUAAUACACUAAAGACAAGUUAUAAUGGAUUAUACAUUAAAUAUGUAUUUUAUAUCGACAUUUUUAUAAAUUGAUUAAAAGUUUAUUAUUUUUCGACGAUUCCAGGUACAAAACUAGUUAAUUAAUAUAGUAGAGCAGCAGGAGGUUGGGACGGACGUCGGAGGAAGCCUGGUGUGCUGGCUUUAGGUCGACAAUGGGCCAUGGUCACAUACGCACGCUUUUAUUUCAGCCGGGAACACACUAAUGAUUGUUCUUUAGACUCAGUAAAAAAAAAGCCAUGAAAAAUGUGUACAGAUCAGCCGAAUGAUAGGCACUCAUGCCAAAAUGCAAUAUCGAAGGCAUAUUUUUUGGGCUACCCUCCCUGAUCAUGAUACAUACAUAGCCAAUCAAUUUAAUUUAAUGUACUCUGUUGGAUGCCAUAAAUAAAUGUAGGAUCAAAUUAUGAUAUGCCUAUCCCCCGUCUCCGUGUAUGAUGAUGAUGAUCAUCCCAUCCAUUUUUAAUCUCAUGCCAUAUGGCUUUAUGAGUGCCAAAUUGUCGUCUAUCUUCGGUUAGUAAAUUAUAAUGCUGUCAUGCAUGCUUCUGGUACUCUUGGUUCCGUUGUUCGAGUCAAAAGGCCAAAUUUCAGGCCUUUUAGAUAGUAAGUAGGACACCUGAAUAGGAUUUUUUCUGAAAUAAAGUAUGAUAAAGUUAUUACAUUACUAGUAUGUGAAUGCAGCAAUACAUGGAUUAAUGUUAAAAACUGAUACUAAUAGUAUAUUAUUGUUAGGUGGAUUAAUUUUUGUUACACAAUAACACUACUGAAUACAUUCAUAGAAUUAAAUUUUAAAAUUCAAGUUAGUUAGUGCAUACAAUAUGCAUUAAUAAAUUUAAAUUACAAUUCAUUCAUGUACAAAAUUUGAUUAUUGGCUGACUUUUGAUUGUUAGUAGUAAAUUACAAUUCAUUCGUUGGUAAGAAUUUUACUCCUUGCGGAUUGUAAUCAGCUACUUCUCUUCUUCUUUUUUUUAUGCGUGUGUUAAGAAUGCGAAUGUUUAAUCAGAGUAGAGUCAAAAGACGAUUGGAGUAUUUAUUUAAUCCCGAGUUGGGCUUGGCCACCGCAGCUUUAUUUAUUUAUUUAUUUAUUAAAGGCCGAUGCCACGGGGACCAAGCACCUAAACAAAAGUGACAUGGACGAAAACAUGAAAAAAGAAACUUCUCUCAACAGGAGAGUCUGAGAAUUCAAUGAUGCUGAUGAAGCAUUUUGCAGAAAUUUAUAUAGCAGACUGUUCAGCAGGAACCACGCGAAC
rnacentral:lncRNA from 1 species